UACGGAGGGUGCAAGCGUUAUCCGGAUUCACUGGGUUUAAAGGGUGCGUAGGUGGGCAGGUAAGUCAGUGGUGAAAUCUCCGAGCUUAACUCGGAAACUGCCAUUGAUACUAUCUGUCUUGAAUUCCCUGGAGGUGAGCGGAAUAUGUCAUGUAGCGGUGAAAUGCUUAGAUAUGACAUAGAACACCAAUUGCGAAGGCAGCUCACUACGGGGUUAUUGACACUGAGGCACGAAAGCGUGGGGAUCAAACAGG
rnacentral:rRNA from 1 species